UACGGAGGGUGCAAGCGUUAUCCGGAUUCACUGGGUUUAAAGGGUGCGUAGGCGGGCAGGUAAGUCCGUGGUGAAAUCUCUGAGCUUAACUCAGAAACUGCCAUGGAUACUAUUUGUCUUGAAUGUUGUGGAGGUAAGCGGAAUAUGUCAUGUAGCGGUGAAAUGCUUAGAUAUGACAUAGAACACCGAUUGCGAAGGCAGCUUACUGACAAAUAUUGACGCUGAGGCACGAAAAGCGUGGGGAUCAAACAGG
rnacentral:rRNA from 1 species